UACGUAGGUGGCAAGCGAUACUCGGAAUCACUAGGCGUAAAGCGCAGGUAGGCGGUUUGGUAAGUCUUUUGUGAAAGCUCCCGGCUUAACUGGGAGAGGUCAAGGGAAACUACCGGACUAGAGUGUGGUAGGGGAUACUGGAAUUCCUGGUGUAGCGGUGAAAUGCGUAGAUAUCAGGAGGAACACCGGUGGCGAAGGCGGUUCUCUGGGCAUUACCUGACGCUGAGGAGCGAAAGUGUGGGGAGCGAACAGG
rnacentral:rRNA from 1 species